UACGUAGGUGGCAAGCGUUGUCCGGAUUUACUGGGCGUAAAGAGCGCGCAGGCGGUCGUUCAAGUCGCGUGUGAAAGCCCCCCGGCUCAACUGGGGAGGGUCACGCGAUACUGAUCGACUCGAAGGCAGGAGAGGGAAGUGGAAUUCCCGGUGUAGUGGUGAAAUGCGCAGAUAUCAGGAGGAACACCGGUGGCGAAGGCGGGUCUCUGGGCCGAUACUGACGCUGAGGAGCGAAAGCGUGGGGAGCGAACAGG
rnacentral:rRNA from 1 species